UACGGAGGGUGCAAACGUUGCUCGGAAUCAUUGGGCGUAAAGCGCACGUAGGCGGUCCGGCAAGUCGGGUGUGAAAGCCCUCGGCUUAACCAAGGAAGUGCAUUCGAAACUACCGGACUUGAAUACUGGAGAGGGUCGCGGAAUUCCCGGUGUAGAGGUGAAAUUCGUAGAUAUUGGGAAGAACACCGGUGGCGAAGGCGGCGACCUGGUCCAUUACUGACGCUGAGGCGCGACAGCGUGGGGAGCAAACAGG
rnacentral:rRNA from 1 species